AUGGUCCGCAUUGCGCCGCUCCUGCUGGUGGCGCUGCUCUCUCUAGCCGUGCAGCUCGCGCCGUCCGCAGCCUGCCCAUCCUGCCCCAAGCCAAAGCCUCCCCCGCCGCCGCCGCGUAAGGUCAAGCCCUCCGUGCCCCCUUCGCCAACGCCUGCCACUCCGCCGCCGACACCGGCAGUGCCGCCGUCACCUGUCCCACCAUCGCCGACGCCACCAACCCCUGUCACUCCAUCGCCGACGCCACCAUCCCCUGUCACUCCAUCGCCAGCUCCAGUUAAGCCGCCGUCCCCAGUCCCAGCGACACCACCGCCAUCGCCGUCGACGGGCCAGUGCCCCAUCGAUACGCUGAAACUGUUGGGGUGCGUGGACGCGCUCAACGGGCUGGUGCACGCGGUGAUCGGCAGCAGCGCUAGCGACAGCUGCUGCCCGCUGUUAUCCGGCGUGGCUGACCUCGACGCCGCGCUCUGCCUCUGCACCACCAUCAAGCUCAAGGCGCUCAACAUCAACCUCGUGCUGCCCAUCGCCAUCGAUCUGCUGGUCAACCAGUGCGGCAAGACGGUGCCCAAGGACUUCCAGUGCCCUAGUUAA
rnacentral:rRNA from 1 species